rnacentral:rRNA from 1 species
AGUGAACGCUGGCGGCAGGCCUAACACAUGCAAGUCGAACGGCAGCACAGUAAGAGCUUGCUCUUACGGGUGGCGAGUGGCGGACGGGUGAGGUAUACAUCGGAAUCUACUUUUUCGUGGGGGAUAACGUAGGGAAACCUACGAUAAUACCGCAUACGACCUACGGGUGAAAGCAGGGGAUCUUCGGACCUUGCGCGAUUGAAUGAGCCGAUGUCGGAUUUGCUAGUUGGCGGGGUAAAGGCCCACCAAGGCGACGAUCCGUAGCUGGUCUGAGAGGAUGAUCAGCCACACUAGAACUGAGACACGGUCCAGACUCCUACGGGAGGCAGCAGUGGGGAAUAUUGGACAAUGGGCGCAAGCCUGAUCCAGCCAUACCGCGUGGGUGAAGAAGGCCUUCGGGUUGUAAAGCCCUUUUGUUGGGAAAGAAAAGCAGCAGGUUAAUACCCCGCUGUUCUGACGGUACCCAAAGAAUAAGCACCGGCUAACUUCGUG